CAGCAGCCGCGGGAAUACAGAGGGUGCAAGCGUUAUCCGGAUUUAUUGGGUUUAAAGGGUCCGUAGGCGGAUCUGUAAGUCAGUGGUGAAAUCUCACAGCUUAACUGUGAAACUGCCAUUGAUACUGCAGGUCUUGAGUAAAUUUGAAGUGGCUGGAAUAAGUAGUGUAGCGGUGAAAUGCAUAGAUAUUACUUAGAACACCAAUUGCGAAGGCAGGUCACUAAGAUUUAACUGACGCUGAUGGACGAAAGCGUGGGGAGCGAACAGGAUUAGAUACCCGUGUAGUCCCUGUCUCUUAUAC
rnacentral:rRNA from 1 species